GACGAACGCUGGCGGCGUGCUUAACACAUGCAAGUCGAACGGUGAAGCGCCUUCCUUUUUGGUGGGUGUGGAUGAGUGGCGAACGGGUGAGUAACACGUGAGUAACCUGCCCCCUUCUUCUGGAUAACCGCAUGAAAGUGUGGCUAAUACGGGAUAUUCUGGUUCUGUCGCAUGAUGGGUCUGGGAAAGAUAUUGUUUCGGUUGGGGAUGGGCUCGCGGCCUAUCAGCUUGUUGGUGGGGUGAUGGCCUACCAAGGCGGUGACGGGUAGCCGGCCUGAGAGGGUGGACGGUCACACUGGGACUGAGACACGGCCCAGACUCCUACGGGAGGCAGCAGUGGGGAAUAUUGCACAAUGGGCGCAAGCCUGAUGCAGCGACGCCGCGUGAGGGAUGGAGGCCUUCGGGUUGUGAACCUCUUUCGCCAGUGAAGCAGGCCUGCCUCGUUUGUGGGUGGGUUGACGGUAGCUGGAUAAGAAGCGCCGGCUAACUACGUG
rnacentral:rRNA from 1 species